rfam:Candidatus Woesebacteria bacterium RIFCSPHIGHO2_12_FTLL_41_24 rifcsphigho2_12_scaffold_91, whole genome shotgun sequence.
GCCAGAGUGGCGGAACUGGUAGACGCGUACGGUUCAGAACCGUAUGGGUAUUUUUCCCUUGGAGGUUCGAGUCCUCUCUCUGGCA